rnacentral:lncRNA from 13 species
AGUGGGCAUAAUUAAAUCUCUGAGCAUUAUUACGUUUAUUUUUAAACUGAUAAUUGUUUUGUGUCAAACAUUAUAUUUAAAAUAUGUAGUAACAGUGCUCAAUCGGAAUUAGUUACAACUUUCCGGGCAGAUUUCCGAAGCGACACCUAUUGCUCCCCCCACUACCGUACGAGGCUCGUCGGCCGGGCCACCGAUGCGCAUGACGCUGUUUCUCAGAAGCGUCCCAUAUCGAUAAUACGAGUAUAUGUUUAUUUCAGUGAUCUUGUUAAAUUCUAUAACAUUGAUCGUAAACAUUGAUCGUAACAUUGAUCGUAAUAUAACAUUUAUAGUAAAAAAUGGUGUAUUAUCUGCAGCAUGAUACCAUGAUCCAUUGAAAGAAGCUUUGUGUAAAGAAAGAAAAGGAGGUUAUGUCUUAAAAAAAAGGUAAAUCUACUUAACAUUACAUAAUCAAAAAAA